UUUAUUUUGUUAGCUUUUCGAAGAAAGGAGCAAUUUAACUUAUGAUAAUGGAGGUUUUUUUUCCAAACAUGAAGAACAAUAAUAAAGAAGAAGACAAUUGAGUUAAUAUUUAUUUUUUCCAAGUUUAUUUUAACACAUGACCAAUUUUUAUUGGUCAGUGCUGUCUAAAAGCUGCACCCACGCGCCUAACAUAGGUGAAAUCACGGACUCAGCCACGUAGGCCGAAAAGUGGUAAACAAUUAACUAAAAAAUAAGUUCAGGGGGGUAAUAGGACCUUAGUAAAGGUUAGGUGUGUCUCAG
rnacentral:lncRNA from 1 species